CUCAAGCCCUGGCUUGUUGUUGGACUUUUGGUCCCGCCCUCGUGCGCGACCGGUUCCAAAGACAAUGACGGCGUCCGUGGGACCCUCGGUACAAUGAGCUUUCACCAGCACGUAUCAGAGUUGAAAGGUUCUCGGGCCCGGUCUCCUUUUAUUUUAACAAGGUUGACCUCGGAUCAGGUAGGAAUACCCGCUGAACUUAA
rnacentral:misc_RNA from 1 species